rnacentral:ncRNA from 1 species
AUAUAACAGAGUUAAAAGGGAAACAGGUCAGAAUCCUGUGCGAACCCGUCACUGUAUCUGAGGAGUGCGGAGCUAUUAUGUCACUGACUUUUCUGUCGGGAAGGCUGUUCCGUGUGUUGAUUCACAAGUCAGGAAACCUGCCGUUUAUGAA